GAUGAACGCUGGCGGCGUGCCUAAUACAUGCAAGUCGAGCGAAUGGAUUAAGAGCUUGCUCUUAUGAAGUUAGCGGCGGACGGGUGAGUAACACGUGGGUAACCUGCCCAUAAGACUGGGAUAACUCCGGGAAACCGGGGCUAAUACCGGAUAACAUUUUGAACCGCAUGGUUCGAAAUUGAAAGGCGGCUACGGCUGUCACUUAUGGAUGGACCCGCGUCGCAUUAGCUAGUUGGUGAGGGAACGGCGCACCAAGGCAACGAUGCGUAGCCGACCUGGGAGGGUGAUCGGCCACACUGGGACUGAGGCACGGCCCAGACUCCUACGGGAGGCAGCAGUAGGGAAUCUUCCGCAAUGGACGAAAGUCUGACGGAGCAACGCCGCGUGAGUGAUGAAGGCUUUCGGGUCGUAAAACUCUGUUGUUAGGGAAGAACAAGUGCUAGUUGAAUAAGCUGACACCUUGACGGUACCUAACCAGAAAGCCACGGCUAACUACGUGCCAGCAGCCGCGGUAA
rnacentral:rRNA from 1 species